rnacentral:rRNA from 1 species
UUCCGGUUGAUCCUGCCGGAGGUCACUGCUAUUGGGGUUCGGCUAAGCCAUGCGAGCGGAGGGCGCGGUCGCAAGAUCGUGGCCCCGCACACGGCUCAGUAACACGUAGUCAACCUACCCUUGGGACGGGGACAACGCCGGGAAACUGGCGAUAAUCCCCGAUAGGUGAGGGAUGCUGGGAUGCUUCUUCGCUCAAAGCUCCGGCGUCCGAGGAUGGGGCUGCGGCCUAUCAGGCUGUUGGUGGUGUGACGGACCACCAAACCUACGACGGGUACGGGCGAUGGGAGUCGGAGCCUGGAGAUGGGGACUGAGACAAGGCCCCAGGCCCUACGGGGCGCAGCAGGCGCGAAAACUCCGCAAUGCGCGCAAGCGUGACGGGGGAACCCCAAGUGCCGUUGGUCUUUUGAUCGACGGCUUUUCGAAAGUCCAAUAAGCUUCCGGAAUAAGGGCUGGGCAAGACUGGUGCCAGCCGCCGCGGUAACACCAGCAGCCCAAGUGGUGGCCGCGAUUAUUGGGCCUAAAGCGCUCGUAGCCGGAUCAGCAAGUCCUUUGUGAAAUCGGACCGCCCAACGGUUCGGCGUGCAAAGGAUACUGUUGGUCUUGAGACCGGGAGAGGUCGGAGGUACUCUUGGGGGUAGCGGUGAAAUGCUGUAAUCCUGGGGGGACCACCAGUGGCGAACGCGUCCGACCAGAGCGGAUCUGACGGUGAGGGGCGAAGCUAGGGGAGCGAACGGGAUUAGAUACCCCGGUAGUCCUAGCUGUAAGCAUGCGGGCCAGUGUCUAGCGCUCUUGAGGCGCUAUGUGCGAGGAGCCGUUAGCCCGCCGCUGGGAGUACGCGCAGCUGAAACUUAAGAAUUGGCGGGGGAGCACCACAGGGUGGACUGCGUUCAUUGAGUC